rnacentral:rRNA from 1 species
UACGUAGGGGGCUAGCGUUGUCCGGAAUCAUUGGGCGUAAAGAGCGCGUAGGCGGCCAGAUAAGUCCGGUGUGAAAGUCAAAGGCUCAACCUUUGAAUGCCGCUGGAAACUGUCUGGCUAGAGUCCGGGAGGGGCGAGUGGAAUUCCUGGUGUAGCGGUGAAAUGCGCAGAUAUCAGGAAGAAUAUCCGUGGCGAAGGCGGCUCUCUGGGACGGUACUGGACGCUGAGACGCGAAAGCGUGGGGAGCGAACAGG